rnacentral:lncRNA from 1 species
AAAAUACUUACUAAGAAACGAUUUGUAAUGAGUAUUUGAGACUUAAAUAGGUGAUUAGAAGAUGGGAUGUUUGGAAUUCUCUUUGUAACUUUUAAGCUUUUAUACUCUAAAAGGAUUUUUGAAAUAUAGGUGUCCACAAACACUUCAUUUUAAAUGUGGACUCAUUUUCCCUAGCAUUUAAAAGUUAAAAUGUCAUCCAAAAGGAUUGGAAGGAGACAGCUUCAUCCAGUUUUUGAACUUAAACUAAAAAAAAAAAAUUAAGAUUAUCUAGCUCCGAAAUAAUAGAUGGGGAUCAGUACUAGUCUGAUAGUUAAUUCAGUUCUCCAUUUUCAGGCAUCAGCCAUCUAGUUCCAUCUAAUAAAAAUGAACCACUUGUAUGACGUAUGUUAAAUUUUAUAUACACACUUUUUUUAGCUCAAUCUAGAUGGAUUUUAAGAAUUAUCAAUAAUCUUAAUAGAUAUAAAAAUUAAGGUAUUUUAAAACACCUUAAAAUAUUUUAAAAAGGAGAUUAUUAUAAAAUUUGUCCUCCUUUGCCUGAUAAUAUUUGUCUUAAAUCUACUUAGUCUGAUGUUAAUAUGUCAUCCUAAUUUUCUUUUGAAUACUGUUAGCAUUGUUAGCAUGGUAUAUCUUUUUUUUUUCUUUUAAUCUACUUGUACCUUUCUUUUAGGCAACUUUGUUCUUGCUUUUCUAUCCAAUAUAACAAUCUCUGCUUUUUAAUUUGUGUGUUUAUAUCAUUUACAUUUAAUAUGAUUGUUAUGUUUAGGUCUUAAACCUCUAAGCUAAGCCUUAAACCUUAAACUAAAACAUUCUAGUCUUUGAUUUCACUUUGUUUCAUCUGUUGUUUGUUCCCUUUCCCCAUCUUUUUUUUUUUUAAGUAAUUACUGAUAUUUUAUUUUUCAAUAGUUAUUUCCCCAAUACAAUUUUUUUUUCUACUGUACAGCAUGGUGACCCAGUUACACAUACCUGCACACAUUCUAUUUUUGCACAUUAUCAUGUUCCAUCAUAAGUGACUAGACAGAGUUCCCAGUGCUACACAGCAGGAUCUCAUUGCUAAUCCAUUCCAAAGGCAAUAGUUUGUAUCUGUUAACCCCAAGCUCCCCAACCACCCCUCUCCCUCACCCUUCUCCUUGGCAACAACAAGUCUGUUCUGCAAGUGCAUGAUUUUCUUUUCUGUGGAAAGGUUCAUUUGUGCCUUUGAUUAGAUUCCAGAUAUAAGUGAUAACAUAUGGUAUUUGUCGUUCUCUUUCUGACUUACUUCACUCAGAAUGAGAGUCUGUAGUUCCAUCCAUAUUGCUGCAAAUGGCAUUAUUUCGUUCUUUAAGGCUGAGUAGUAUUCUAUUGUGUAUAUACACCACAUCUUCCUAAUGAUUUCUUCCAUUUUUUUUAGUCUCUAUUUUAUUGAUUUCCUCCUUUAUCUUUAUGAUUUCCUUCCUUCUGCUGACUUUAGGUUUUGUUUUUUCUUCUUUUUCUAAUUCAUUUAGGUGUUGGGUUAAGUUGUCAAUUUGAGAUCUAUCUUUUUUUUGUAUUAAAUUAAAAAAAUGAUUAUUUUUCCUUUGGUAACUUAUUAGGUAUAAUUCUGUUUUGUUAUUUCAGUGGUUGCUUUAACAUCAUAAUAUACAUCAUUAACUUAUCACAGUUGACCUUCAGGUAAUAUACCACUUUGCAUAUAGUAUAAGAAACUACAAAUAUAUAUUCUAUUUCAGUGCUGGCUUUUAUGUUAUUGUUUUCAUGCAUUUAACUUAUAUGUGCUAUAAACCUCACAAUGCAUUGUUAUUUUCAUUUAAACAGUUGCUUUUUAAAAGAUUUAAGUGGAGUUCCUUCAUGGCUCAGCAGUAACAGACCCGACUAGUAUCCAUGAGGACAUGAGUUUGAUCCCUGGCCUUGCUCAGUGGGUUAAGGAUCUGGCAUUGCUGUGAACUGUGGUGUAGGUCUCAGGUACAGCUUGGAACCUGAGUUGUACCUGAGUUGCUGUGGCUGUGGCGUAGCCAGCAGCUAUAGUUUUCGAUUUGACCCCUAGCCAGAGAGCUUCCAUAUGCUGUGGGUGCAGCCAUAAAGAAAAAAAAAAAAAAGAUCUAAGUAUGAAAGUCUUAUAUAUAUGCCCAUAUAGAUACAAAUUUCUGUGUUCUUCAUUCUGUAUGCAGAUCCAUUUUUCCAUCAGGUAUAAUUUUCCUUCUUCCUAAGAGGCUUCUUUUAACAUUCCUUAUCGUACAGGUCUGCUGUUGAUGAAUUCAGCUUUCAUAUAUAUAUAAAAGAUUUUCUUGUCUUUUUUUUGUGCUUGAAUGUGCAAAAAAGUUUUAUUCAUAUUAGGCAAAAUACUGGCAACAAUCCCAAUGUCUAUUGCUUGAUGACUGGAUAACCAAAUUGUUAUAUCCAUGUGAUGGAAUACUAUUCAGUAAUAAAAAAGGAUAAAGUACUAUAUAAUUGACAUAUAGCACUAUAUAAGUUUAAGGUGUAGAGCCUAAUGAUUUGAUUUCAUAUAUCAUGAAAUGUUUAUCUUAAUAAGUUUAGUGAACAUCCAUCAUCUCAUAUAGAUACAAAAUUUAAGAAAUAGAAAAAAUUUUUUGCUUGUGAUGAGAACUCUCAGGCUUUACUCUCAACAAUUUUCAUAUAUAACAUGCAGCAGUGUUAAUAAUAUUUAUCAUUUGCAUUACAUCCCUAGUACUUAUGUAUAUUAUAACUGGAAAUUUGUACCUUUUGAUUGUCUUCAUCCAGUUCUCCUUCCCCCCGACCUCCUGCCUCUGGUAAGCACAAAUCCUGUCUUUUUCUGUGAGUUUGUUUAUUUGUUUUUAAAGUAUAAUUGACCUGUAACACUGUGUUUAUUCUUAUUACACAACAUAGUGAUUUGAUAUUUCUUUCAUUUCAAAAUGAUCACAAUAAGUCUAGUUAUAUGUCACCAUACCAAAGAAAUUACAUAGUAGUUGAUUAUAAUCUUCACACUGUACAUUUCAUACCAGUGACUCAUUUAAAUAUUUUGUCAUUGAAAGAUAUUUCACUAAGAAUUUUAUAUUUUUAUAUUUUAAUACUUUAUGCCAUAAAAUUCUAGCUAGACUUUUUCUUUCAGUACUGUCCAGAUGCUGCUCCAUGGCUUCUAGUUUGCAUUGUUUCUGAUGAGAAAGCUAUCAUCUUCAUCUUUGUUUCCUGAUAUAUAAUGUAUCUUUUUUUCUCUGUUAGCUUUGGAGAUUUUUAGUUUAUUACUGUUUUUGAGCAAUUUGAAUAUAACGUUCCAUGGUGUAGAUUUCUUGGUAUUUCCUGUGCAUGGAGGCUAUUUGAAAUUCUUGGAUGUGUGGGUUUAUAGUUUUCAUAAUAUUUGAACAUUUUCUGGCCAUUAUGUCUUCAAAUAUAUUUUAUGUCUUCCCUCUCUCUUCUUUUGGGAUUUCCAUUACACAUUUGUUAGACACUUACUGAUGCUCUUUUUCAUUUUUAACAUGUUUUUUCCUUCCUUUUGUCUCAUUUUGUAUAGUUUAUGUUGCUGUGUCUUAAAGUUCACUAGUAUUUUCUUCUCCAGUGUCUAACCUUCUAUUUAUCCCAUUGAGUGUGUUUUUUUUUUUAUCACAGACAUUGUAGUUUUCAUGUAUGGAUGUUUUAUUCAGAUGUUUUUAUAGUUUAGUGUCUGUCCUUAACUUUUUAAAGAAAUGAAAUACAGUAAUGAAAAUAUUAAUGUCCAUAUCUGAUGGUUCUAAGAUCUGUGUUCUGAGUCAGUUUCAGUUGAUUAAUUCUUUUCUUCAUUAUAAUUCAUAUUUUCCAGCUUCUUUGCAUGCUGCAUAAUCUUUGAUUUUAUACAAGAUGUGAAUUUUAUCUUUUGGGGUGCUAGUUAGGAGAGGUAAGUGAGAAAAUAUUUUUGUUUAUGGCUACAUUGCAAGUAACUAGAACAGUGCCUUAGAUGGCGGCUCAAUCAAUAAAAUGGAUGGACGGAUGAAUCAGGGUAUGCUGGUGGCCAAUUGGAGGAACCAGGAGAUUAGAGGGCAACAAUAUGUUGCAGACAGCGUAUUCACUAUGAAGUGAAUACCUACACCAAGGCAAUUGAGUCUUGACUGCAUGAUGUCCUGGCUUUAGGAUGUCUUUUCCAUCUACAUUUGAAUACAGUUGUAAUUGGAUUUCAGAAUUCCUCUUAAUGUAGGAAAUCAUACUGACUCCAAGAUAAUACUAGAAGACCAAAUUUCUCUUUCCUUUUUUUAUAUGCUAUUUUCACUGUUUUUUUUUUUUUGCCUUUUUAGGGCCGUACCUGUGACAUAUAGAAGUUCCCUGGCUAGGGGUCAAAUCAGAGCUGUAGCUGCCAGCCUAUACCACAGCAGCAGCAAUGCCAGAUCUGAGCCCAGUCUGCGACCUACACUACAGUUCAUGGCAAUGCCAGAUUCUUAACCCACUGAGUGAGGCCAGAGAAUCGAACCUGCAUCCUUGUGGAUACUAGUUGGGUUCAUUAUUGCUGAGCCACAAUGGGAACUCUUUCACUGGAAUAUUUUAAAUAUGUUUCUCAAUGAAGAGUCAAUUCCUUUUCAUUACACUUGUAUUUCAAACAUUUUUAAGAGAUGAAAAUGCAUUAAAGUAUUAACUGGAACUUCUGGGCAAAUAGCUCCCCUGUUUAGUCUUCAGUUUAAUUACUAUGUAAUUCUGCCAGCUUUCUCCAGAAAUAAUUGACUGAAUGAAGUAAUUUUAUUGGAUAUUUACAAACACUGUGACUUAUAAAGGUCUGUGAAGUCCCAUUUGGCUUGGAAAUGACUGAGGCUAACCUGGCAGUGCAAAACAGUUAUUUUGGGCUUAGCAUAUUUUCAUAGUCACCAACCCAGGAAGAUACUGGGAAGGAAACAGAGUAAGGUAAAAUGUUUGGCCUUUAUGCUCAGUCCUAGUUUUGUAAUUUUAGCUGUAAGUUUACUUUAAAAUGAGAGAGUAAAGCCUUGAUUUGAUCUAAGACACGAAGUGUUGGAUCGUGAUUUCUGUGUGUGGUUGUUAGAAUAUCUUGUUAAAUUAUGAAUAGCCUGGAAGAAAUUUUCAAAGCUUUGAGGAUCAAUAGUCAAAGCUUAAACAUUGGUUUGUCAAUCAUGGGAGACAUGAAUUACCAAGGUCACUCUAUGAGUGGUACUGAUUUAAUAUUCUGUAAUAAAGUGCUUUUGUUUUGGAUUAAAUAAUAGGGCUUGAUUUUGAAGGCAUGAUAUCAAACUAGAGAGCAGACUCUUUCAAAGUGGGCUCUUCAUGGUCUUAAAAUAUUGAUAAGUGUGGAGAGUGGAAGCAGGACUAUUGGGUAAGGUGUUU